UGAGGUGCUUGCACCUUAUCUUAGCGGCGGACGGGUGAGUAAUGCUUAGGAAUCUGCCUAUUAGUGGGGGACAACAUUCCGAAAGGAAUGCUAAUACCGCAUACGCCCUACGGGGGAAAGCAGGGGAUCUUCGGACCUUGCGCUAAUAGAUGAGCCUAAGUCGGAUUAGCUAGUUGGUGGGGUAAAGGCCUACCAAGGCGACGAUCUGUAGCGGGUCUGAGAGGAUGAUCCGCCACACUGGGACUGAGACACGGCCCAGACUCCUACGGGAGGCAGCAGUGGGGAAUAUUGGACAAUGGGCGGAAGCCUGAUCCAGCCAUGCCGCGUGUGUGAAGAAGGCCUUUUGGUUGUAAAGCACUUUAAGCGAGGAGGAGGCUACUUAGAUUAAUACUCUAGGAUAGUGGACGUUACUCGCAGAAUAAGCACCGGCUAACUCUGUGCCAGCAGCCGCGGUAAUACAGAGGGUGCGAGCGUUAAUCGGAUUUACUGGGCGUAAAGCGUGCGUAGGCGGCUGAUUAAGUCGGAUGUGAAAUCCCUGAGCUUAACUUAGGAAUUGCAUUCGAUACUGGUCAGCUAGAGUAUGGGAGAGGAUGGUAGAAUUCCAGGUGUAGCGGUGAAAUGCGUAGAGAUCUGGAGGAAUACCGAUGGCGAAGGCAGCCAUCUGGCCUAAUACUGACGCUGAGGUACGAAAGCAUGGGGAGCAAACAGGAUUAGAUACCCUGGUAGUCCAUGCCGUAACGAUGUCUACUAGCCGUUGGGGCCUUUGAGGCUUAGUGGCGCAGCUAACGCGAUAAGUAGACCGCCUGGGGAGUACGGUCGCAAGACUAAAACUCAAAUGAAUUGACGGGGGCCCGCACAAGCGGUGGAGCAUGUGGUUUAAUUCGAUGCAACGCGAAGAACCUUACCUGGUCUUGACAUAGU
rnacentral:rRNA from 1 species